rnacentral:lncRNA from 1 species
AUUUGGUUUAUGGUUUUAUUUAGGGAUUAGGGUUUGAUUAGGGUUUAAUUUAGGAUUUAGGAUUUAUUUUAGAUUUGGUUUAGGAUUUAGGGUUUGGAUUAGGAUUUGGUUUAGGAUUUAGGAUUUGGAUUAGGGUUUGGUUAGGGUUUGAUUUAGAAUUUGGUUAGGAUUCGGUUUAGGAUUUGGUUGGGAUUUGGUUUAAGGUUUAUUUAGGAUUUGAUUUAGAUUUUAGGAUUUUAUUAGGAUUUAAGAUUCAAUUUGUUUUGGCCUAAAGUUUGAAUGAAGUUCAAUAGGAUUUUAACUAGAAUUAAAUUAAGAUUGAAUUGAGAUGUAUUUGAGUGAUAUUUGUAAUCCAUUGUCAAGGACAAGAACUCGAUGAAAGCUAAAGAGUAAGUGAGACUUUUCUCAAAAAGAAAUAGGACAAAAUAGAAAUAUGUAUAUUAAGAAAGAAACUGGAAUGGCUAUUGCCAAAAUACAAGAAAACUAGAGACCCUUGAAACUAGACUAGAAGCAAGAAAGGAGUUGACAAGAGUGAAGAGGACUUCACUCUUGCCUCUAUAUAUAUUAUCUAACUAGAAGCCAUGUGGCGAUGUUCUAUAAGACCUCCAAUAUAUGUUGACUUUCUAGGCCACAUGCCUUUGCUUGCAAGGCAAGUUUUCUAUGGAUGGACCACGUAGUUAGCUUGUUCUUUAAGCUUCCAACAUGCGUGGCACAUGGCUAACUUGUUGACCAAGUUUCUAACCUAAAAGUCAACUAUAGACUCCUAUAAAGUCAAAGCAGCAUCUAUGAAGCUUCUAAGAAGCUUCUCUAGAAGAUAUUACAUAAUUAACCUACUUUUAUCUACUUUUACAUACUUUUAUCUAUUCAUAUAGGUAAUUAUAUGUAUGUCCGUGACAUUACCCCCCCUUCUAGGGACGAGUUCCACGAGGAGCGGUGAUUAUAUAUUGAGAAAAUCUAAUAUGCGGCGAAUUGUAUUUGCUACAUACUCUGAUCUUUGUUCUCUUCGAAGAUAGUUGAUGGGUCCUCUUAGCCAUCGAUAGUGUCCCAUUCCAGGGCGAGAAGACCACCCUGUUAUUUGAUCACUGUUGAGGCCUUCAUAACUUCCUCAAUCUUGUCUCUUUUAUAAGAGAGGUUUUCAUCUUGGUUUUGAUGGAUGUCGUUGAUGAAAAACUUUGACUUUAGCUGAUGCAUUUGCUAGAUUCCUGGAUGGCUCCCAUGUGCGCUCACUAAUAUCAUAUCCGCACCAAUGAACAAGAUAUUCCAUCUUAUUUCGGCGCCGCCUUGAGUCUAAUAUCUCUUCCACCUCAAAUUCUUCAUUAUUAUCUACUUCUAUAGGAGGCGGUGGCAUUUGUCUUCUUCCUUGUAUAUCCACUGUCUUAUAUGGUUCAAGAAGAGACACGUGGAAUAUAGGAUGGAUCUUCAUUGACUCCGGUAGAUGUAACCGAUAUGCAACUGGGUUGAUCUGUUCAGAAACAGAAAAGGAGCCAAGCCUACGAUAGUCCAAUUUGUCACAAGGUCGAGUGGUCUUGAUAUUGCGACGAAGUAGCCAUACCUUAUCACCCACGUUGAGUUGUGGUUGCUCUUUACGAUAUACAUCUGCAUUUAUCUUUUGUCGUUCUUGAGCUUUCUUCAACUGCGCCUUCAUUAUUGCAUGUAACUCUGACAACCGAUUUGCCAUAUCUUCUGCUGCAGGAUUAUCAACUUUUGAAAAAUCAAAAGUAUCAAGUCGUGGAUGAUAGCCAUAAUUGGCAAAGAAAGAUGUUUGUUGCGUGGAAGAAUGUACCGUAUUAUUAUAAGCAAACUCUGCCAAUGGCAGAAGGUUUGUCCAAUCAUCUUGUUGGUAGUUGAUGGUACACCUUAAAUACUGUUCCAAGACUUGGUUUACGCGCUCUGUUUGUCCAUCAGUUUGAGGAUGGAAAGCUGAAGAUAGCUUUAUGUCCACUUUUAAAAUCUUGAAAAGAGUCCUCCAAAAUCUCGACACAAAUUGAGUUCCCCUAUCCGAUAUGAUAUCUUUAGGCAAUCCAUGAUAGCGAUAGAUAUUAUCAAUGAAAAGCUUAGCUGUUUCUUCACCUGUGAUAGAUUUUGUACAUGGCAUAAAAUGUGCCAUCUUCGUAAAACGAUCUACUAUCACAAAUAUAGAAUCAUAAGAUCUUGAGUUUGGAAGAUCUGUGAUGAAAUCCAUAGAAACAGAAGACCAUGGUUGUUCUGGUAUAGGUAAUGGCUGAAGAAGUCCGUAAGGUCGAUGUCGAGGAAUUUUUGAUCUUGAACAAAUAUCACAUGAUUGUACAAGGUCUUUGACUGACUUCCACAUUUGUGGCCACCAAAAAUCUCUUGAUAUGAGUUCCAAAGUCUUAUUAUAUCCAAAGUGCCCUGCUGCUGGAAAGUCAUGACGUGCUUGAAGAACACGCAAACGUGCUUUUUCUUCUGGAACAUAUAGGCGUCCUUUAAAAUAUAAUAGAUUAUUCUUGAACUCGAACUUAGAAGAAUCAUGAGACUUGGAAGAAUUAUUCUCGAUAUCAUGAACAAGAGGGUCUGAGGACAUACUGGACUGGAUUUGCUUGAGAAAAGUUGAAUCAACAGUCAAUGUUGAUUUCAUUGCUCGGAGAUGAAAUUGCUCCGGUUUCAAGAGGACCGUUCUUUGUUGCUCAAAAGCUGCAUCUCCUUCUUUUGGUGCAAAAUAAGAACGUCUAGACAGGGCAUCGGACAAACCUUGUUGUUUUCCUGGCCGAUAAGUGAUAAUGAAGUCGAAUCUUGACAAAGACAUACUCCAACGAGCUUGACGACGAUUCAACACGCGUGCUGACAUGAAAUACUCGAGGUUCUUGUGAUCUGUAUACACAAUGACUGGACUAGAAGCACCUUCUAGAUAAUGACGCCAUUCUUGAAAAGAAUCCACGAUUGCAAGAAGUUCUUUAUCGUGGAUCUCAUAAUUGAUCUCGGCUGCUGAGAAUUUUCUUGAAUGAAAAGCUAUCGGAUGAAGUUUGUCAUCUGUUCCCAUUUGUGAUAAAACAUUCCCAAGGCAAAAUCCGAUGCGUCUGUUUCCAUAAAAAAUGCCUUGGAAAAGUCAACACGAUAUAAGACUGGUGCAGAGACAAACGAUGUCUUCAAGGCUUCAAAUGCUGCUUCCGCUUCUUGAUUCCAUUGAAAUUUAUCUUUACUAGUCAAGCAUGUAAGUGGAGCUGCAACUCGUGAGAAGUCUUUGAUGAAGAUCCGAUAGUAAUUGGCAAAUCCCAAGAAACAUUGGACAUCUCUUACAGUCUUUGGAAUCUUCCAAUCCAUGAUUGUUUGGACUUUCUUAGAAUCCAUCAUAAGACCAUCAUUUGAAAUGAUGUAUCCUAAAAAGUCAACUUGAGUAGUGUGAAAUACACACUUUUCCAUCUUGGCGUACAAUCCUGCAUCUCUGAGUUUUUGUAAUACUUGACGAACAUGUAUUUCAUGUUCUUCAACAUUCUUAGAAUAAAUCAGGAUAUCGUCUAGGUAGCAGACGACAAAAUUGUCUAAGAAUUCACGAAAUACAUCAUUCAUGAGAUGUUGAAAAGCAGCUGGUGCAUUCGUGAGUCCAAUAGGCAUGACAUUAUAUUCAAAAUGCCCGUACCUGGUUCGAAACGCAGUCUUCCAUUCAUCUCCUUCUUUGAUCCGUACUAGAUUAUAUGCUCCUCUUAGAUCUAUUUUUGUAUAGAUCUUAGCUUGAUUUAACUGGUCAAGGAGUCCUGAUAUCAAAGGUAAUGGAUACCUGUUCUUGAUUGUGAUCUUGUUGAGUCCUCGAUAAUCAACACACAUUCGUAAAGAUCCAUCUUUUUUCUUUACGAAUAGAAUUGGAGCUCCUGCUGGAGAUUUUGAAUGGCGUAUGAAAUUCUUCGCUAAAUUCUCGUCAAUAUAUGUCUUGAGUUCAGCCAACUCAUCUUGCGAUAAACUGUAAAUUGGUCCAAAUGGUGGCUGAGUUCCUUCCUUGAGAUCGAUUGAACAAUCGUAUGGGCGAUGCUCAGGAAGAAUAUCUGCAUUCUUUUUCUCAAAAACGUCUUGAUAAUCCUGAUAUUGACUUGGAAUGCCUCUUGAAGUCUUUACGCUUUCAGAAAUAGGUGCAGCAUAAAUAGCAAAAGUUGAUCCUUCUUUUGCUGCGUGUAUAAAUGCUUUUGCACCUAUAGGUGCGAGUUUUACUAUACUAGACUCAUGGUUUUUUACUUGGUUAAUAGAACUGUUACUAAUGCUCUGAGGAAAAUCAAGUUUACGAGAAAUCCAAUCUAUUCGAGGAUUAUACUUUUCUAACCAUGAUAAGCCUAAAAUUACUGGAUUAGAGGGAGAUCUAAUUAUAUUAAAAAUUACGCAACUACUAUGACCAUUUAUUACUACAUCUACAGGAAGUGUUUCGUGAGUUACAUCUCCAGAAGACAACGGACGACCAUCUAUGACUUCUACGUGUACAGGUUUAGUUUUUUGUAUUAAUGAUAUUCUAUGACAUCUAGCAAAUUCUUCAUCUAAAAAACAAGAUGAGGCUCCCGAAUCUAAUAAAGCAGAGGCUUUGUAAUUCUUAGGUCCUAAAUAUAAGUCUAUUAUAAAACAAGGAGAGGGUUCUGAGGAGAGGAUAGGACCUUCAUUAGGAAUUGUACAAGGUUCCAGCUGCACGGUCCCUAUUGUAGCUGGACGUACUCGUUUUCCGACAUACUGUCUUCUUUGACAGCCGUACUCCUCAUUUUGUAGUUACGUCGCUUCUUUGGACAAUGUUGAGCAGUGUGCUUAGGUUCUCCACAAUAUAAGCACAAUUCUUCUUGUCGACGACGAGACUUUUCUUGCUCAGUAAGAGGUUUGAAACGUACCGCAUCAAUUUGCAUAUCCUCUACUUCUGAAGGUAUGUGUUGAGGAGACGUCGGUGUUGCCAUUGAAUUGUAGUAACAUUGAGGCCCACUUGUGCGACUCUCGGAUCGAAAUUCAAAAAGUCGAUUGUUGCACUUCACAGCAAAGUCAAUUGCUUGACUCAAUGUUUGAGGAUCAGGUAAAUUAAGCAUCAAUUUCUUUACCUCAUAUUGUAAUCCGUAGAGAAAUUGACUCACAAGUGCGGCAUCAUCCCACUUGAUAUCAGUUGCAAGUUGUCGAAAUUGCGAAGCAUAUAAUGUUACUGAUCGAUUGCCUUGUCGCAAAAUACGGAUCUUGUUGGUUGCAACACGAAUUGCAUCAUGUUCUCCAAACAUGGAUCGAAACUCCGCCAAAAAAGCCUCCAGAUUAUCCAAUAUUGGAUCUCGUCGUUCAAGAAAAGAUGAAAACCAUGACAAUGCUGAACCUGAAAGAAGUGUACCAAUGAAUCUUACUUGUGACCCUGGAGUUGGAUAGCUCUGGGGUUGAAGUUCAAUCACUAGUUGGACCUGAUUGAUGAAUCCUCGAAACUUGGAUCUGGUACCAUCAAACUUCUCGGGCAAGGCAACUCUCGGUUCUCUAACACUCGAAGGGUGUUCCAUUCUGGGAGAAGGGACAUGGUUUGGUGCAGAUGUUGAAGCAGCCCCAAUCAUCUCUAUAUCUUCACUUCCUACCAUUCUUGUUGCUCCUUGUGGUGGUAAAUUGAGUUGAUGCAUCGCAAGCAUUAACUCCCUCAAUUGUUCUUGCAUCUGUGCCAUUGCACUCUUCAUUUCAACAAGCUCUGCCAUAGUAGCACUUAGAAAAGAGAAGAUGUCUAAUAACGCUCAAAACAAAUAGAAGAGAGGAAUUGAUAACAAAGAAAAUACUAAGAACAAUAUCAGUUUAAAAGAGGGUAAUCCGCAACUUCUAAUGCGCUUAUGUCUUAUCAAGAAAAAGGGGUAAUCCACUCUUAAUCAAGAAAAGACAAAGCUCUGAUAUUGUAAGUGUACUCUUGUCAAUCUGUCAAGGACAAGAACUCGAUGAAAGCUAAAGAGUAAGUGAGACUUUUCUCAAAAAGAAAUAGGACAAAAUAGAAAUAUGUAUAUUAAGAAAGAAACUGGAAUGGCUAUUGCCAAAAUACAAGAAAACUAGAGACCCUUGAAACUAGACUAGAAGCAAGAAAGGAGUUGACAAGAGUGAAGAGGGCUUCACUCUUGCCUCUAUAUAUAUUAUCUAACUAGAAGCCACGUGGCGAUGUUCUAUAAGACCUCCAAUAUAUGUUGACUUUCUAGGCCACAUGCCUUUGCUUGCAAGGCAAGUUUUCUAUGGAUGGACCACGUAGUUAGCUUGUUCUUUAAGCUUCCAACAUGCGUGGCACAUGGCUAACUUGUUGACCAAGUUUCUAACCUAAAAGUCAACUAUAGACUCCUAUAAAGUCAAAGCAGCGUCUAUGAAGCUUCUAAGAAGCUUCUCUAGAAGAUAUUACAUAAUUAACCUACUUUUAUCUACUUUUACAUACUUUUAUCUAUUCAUAUAGGUAAUUAUAUGUAUGUCCGUGACAUCCAUCUAAUAUUUCUUUAAGAAUUCUUAUUGUUUGU